ACGAAUGAUGAGCAUACUGUGCGCUGUGUUUCCUUCAGUCUUCAGACCCCCCUCCAAGUAAAGUACCAUUAAGUUUAAAGUGAUGGAGCUGAUCCUUCAUCAGAGAAAGUGGUCCAAGAGGAAGCCAGAUUCCAUCCUCUGCCUGAAGGGGGCACUGACCCCCUCUGUACCUGCACUUUGAGGGAAAACUUCUUCCUAGGUUCCCCAUCCCUGGGGAGGCCUGUGACCUGGUGUCCUGGGUGGAAAUCUGGAGGCACCUGUGGUCACCAGACUCACCUUCCACAGCAGCACAGCCAGCAGCAGGAAGAUGAGGAUUCCCACCAGCAAACUGAUGGCGAUGAUCCAUCCCACAACGUAGCCACGGGGCUCCAGAUUGUGCAAGGCCUCAAAGACCACCUAGAAGGCAACACAAAAGUGAAACCAUGAGACCAAAGUUCAUGUCUUGAAAGAGCUAGAAAGAUAACGACCCUGAUUUCAAGUAUCACAAACUGAACAAAAGUAUAGUGAAAAAUGUCAGCCCGUGUUACGUUCCAAAACUAGAUGAUGAUCUUCUACCUUGCAUUCUGGUUCUGAAAUAAAGGACAUGGGAGUGUUUCUCAA